UAUUCAUAUUUGGUUUAAUUUGAAUAUAAAUGUUGUAUCCACCGUUAUUUCUAUAGGUAGUACACCAGUACACAGACCACAUUGUGACUUAAUAUUACUUUGUCAAUGCAAAUAUUAAUCCCAAGUGAUAUUCUUUGAAAUAAAUAUGGAGGAGAUAUUUGUUAUUCUUACGUUACUUUUCGGUUUCGUAUUUGGUGCGGAUGAAGUGUUACAAUUAAAUCAAGGAAAGUUGACUGGUAGCAGUUUGAAAACAAGAAAUGGACGAGAAUUCAAAGCGUUUCAGGGAAUACCCUACGCCAAACCACCAACUGGUGAUCUUAGGU